AGUAUAUGUGUUUAUGCUAGUAGUUAUGAUUAUGCUAUGCCAUGUUCAGCCAGUUAGUCCGGACUUCGGUCCGAUGCAGUUAGCCGGACUUCGGUCCGAUGCAGGUGCAAGGCCCCAUUUAGUCUGGACUCCGGUCCGAUGCAGUUAGUCGGACUUCGGUCCGAUACAGGGGGCAAGGCCACAGUUAGUCCGGACUUCAGUCCGAUGCAGUUAGCCGGACUUCGGUCCGAUGCAGGGGGCAAGGCCCCAGUUAGUCCGGACUUCGGUCCGAUGCAGGGGCAAGGCCCCAGUUAGUCCGGGCUUCGGCCCGAUGCAGUUUCCGGACUUCUGUCCGAUGCAUGGGGCAAGGCCCCGGUUAGUCCGGACUUCGGUCCGAUGCAGUGGGCAAGGCCCAGUAUGUGCUCUAUAUGUUAUUGUAUGGUAUGUGGUAGUUUGGGGGAUCUCACUAAGCUUUGUGCUUACAGUUUCAGUUUUAGUUUCAGGUGCUUCCGCAAGCAAGGGAAGAGCUCGGAUUGAUGGCAUGGCACACACAACAGUUGUAGUUUAUUCCUGGGAGUUUUAUUUACAUAUUCUGAUAUAACAUUAAGUUCAGUUGUGAAUUGAUACAUUUACUAUGACAUUUUGAGACAUACGAUUCAUGGUUUCAUUAUCUAUUAGUUGAUGUUGGAUUUUUAGUAAUAUUAAAACAAAAAAUUUUAGUCUGGAUUUUUGUGUCGUUACAAGUUGGUAUCAGAGCCUUGGUUUGAGGGAUUCAGUCACACUUUCGGGUGUGUCUUAACUCAAACUAAUAUAUGGUAUAAGGUUUUCAUAAGAAAAAUAUUUUUGAAAAGAAUUUUGAAAAAGAAACUUAAAAAGAGGAAAGAGUUUUGAAAAAGUGAAAAGGGUGUGGUGCAUGCGAUCAGCCGAGCUCAAGUAAGUACUCCCAAAUUAUC
rnacentral:lncRNA from 1 species